rnacentral:siRNA from 1 species
CUCAGGUGAGGAAUGUCGAUCCA